GACGAACGCUGGCGGCGUGCUUAACACAUGCAAGUCGAACGGAAAGGCCCUGCUUUUGUGGGGUGCUCGAGUGGCGAACGGGUGAGUAACACGUGAGUAACCUGCCCUUGACUUUGGGAUAACUUCAGGAAACUGGGGCUAAUACCGGAUAGGAGCUCCUGCUGCAUGGUGGGGGUUGGAAAGUUUCGGCGGUUGGGGAUGGACUCGCGGCUUAUCAGCUUGUUGGUGGGGUAGUGGCUUACCAAGGCUUCGACGGGUAGCCGGCCUGAGAGGGUGACCGGCCACAUUGGGACUGAGAUACGGCCCAGACUCCUACGGGAGGCAGCAGUGGGGAAUAUUGCACAAUGGGCGGAAGCCUGAUGCAGCAACGCCGCGUGCGGGAUGACGGCCUUCGGGUUGUAAACCGCUUUCGCCUGUGACGAAGCGUGAGUGACGGUAAUGGAUAAAGAAGCACCGGCUAACUACGUG
rnacentral:rRNA from 1 species